rnacentral:rRNA from 1 species
UACGUAGGGUGCGAGCGUUGUCCGGAAUUAUUGGGCGUAAAGGGCUCGUAGGCGGUUUGUCGCGUCGGGAGUGAAAACCAGGUGCUUAACACCUGGCUUGCUUUCGAUACGGGCAGACUAGAGGUAUUCAGGGGAGAACAGAAUUCCUGGUGUAGCGGUGAAAUGCGCAGAUAUCAGGAGGAACACCGGUGGCGAAGGCGGUUCUCUGGGAAUGACCUGACGCUGAGGAGCGAAAGUGUGGGGAGCGAACAGG